rnacentral:rRNA from 1 species
AUCUACAGCCAUACCAUCCUGAAUGUGCCUGAUCUCAUCUGAUCUUAAGCUAAGCAGGGUCGGGCCUGGUUAGUACUUGGAUGGGAGAACAUAUGAUGUCAUACAAA